rnacentral:lncRNA from 1 species
CGCGCCUGGGUGUAGUUGUGGGGGAGGAAGUGGCUAGCUCAGGGCUUCAGGGGACAGACAGGGAGAGAUGACUGAGUUAGAUGAGACGAGGGGGCGGGCUGGGGGUGCGAGAAGGAAGCUUGGCAAGGAGACUAGGUCUAGGGGGACCACAGUGGGGCAGGCUGCAUGGAAAAUAUCCGCAGGGUCCCCCAGGCAGAACAGCCACGCUCCAGGCCAGGCUGUCCCUACUGCCUGGUGGAGGGGGAACUUGACCUCUGGGAGGGCGCCGCUCUUGCAUAGCUGAGCGAGCCCGGGUGCGCUGGUCUGUGUGGAAGGAGGAAGGCAGGGAGAGGUAGAAGGGGUGGAGGAGUCAGGAGGAAUAGGCCGCAGCAGCCCUGGAAAUGAUCAGGAAGGCAGGCAGUGGGUGCAGGGCUGCAGGAGGGCCGGGAGGGCUAAUCUUCAACUUGUCCAUGCCAGCAGCCCCUUUUUUUCCAGACCAAGGGCUGUGAACCCGCCUGGGGAUGAGGCCUGGUCUUGUGGAACUGAACUUAGCUCGACGGGGCUGACCGCUCUGGCCCAGGGUGGUAUGUAAUUUUCGCUCGGCCUGGGACGGGGCCCAGGCCGGGCCCAGCCUGGUGGAGCGUCCAGGUCUGGGUGCGAAGCCAGGCCCCUGGGCGGAGGUGAGGGGUGGUCUGAGGAGUGAUGUGGAGUUAAGGCGCCAUCCUCACCGGUGACUGGUGCGGCACCUAGCAUGUUUGACAGGCGGGGACUGCGAGGCACGCUGCUCGGGUGUUGGGGACAACAUUGACCAACGCUUUAUUUUCCAGGUGGCAGUGCUCCUUUUGGACUUUUCUCUAGGUUUGGCGCUAAACUCUUCUUGUGAGCUCACUCCACCCCUUCUUCCUCCCUUUAACUUAUCCAUUCACUUAAAACAUUACCUGGUCAUCUGGUAAGCCCGGGACAGUAAGCCGAGUGGCUGUUGGAGUCGGUAUUGUUGGUAAUGGUGGAGGAAGAGAGGCCUUCCCGCUGAGGCUGGGGUGGGGCGGAUCGGUGUUGCUUGCCUGCAGAGAGGGUGGGGAGUGAAUGUGCACCCUUGGGUGGGCCUGCAGCCAUCCAGCUGAAAGUUACAAAAAUGCUUCAUGGACCGUGGUUUGUUACUAUAGUGUUCCUCAUGGCGAGCAGAUGGAACCGGGAGACAUGGAGUCCCUGGCCAGUGUGAGUCCUAGCAUUGCAGGAGGGGAGACCCUGGAGGAGAGAGCCCGCCUCAAUUGAUGCCUGCAGAUUGAAUUUCCAGAGGCUUAGGAGGAGGAAGUUCUCCAAUGUUCUGUUUCCAGGCCUUGCUCAGGAAGCCCUGUAUUCAGGAGGCUACCAUUUAAAGUUUGCAGAUGAGCUUAUGGGGGGCAAUCUUAAAAAGUCCACAGCAGAUGCAUCCGGCUCGAGGGGCCAUCAGCUUUGAAUAAAUGCUUGUUCCAGAGCCCAUGAAUGCCAGCAGGCACCCCUCCUUUCCUGGGGUAAAGGUUUUCAGAUGCUGCAUCUUCUAAAUUGAGCCUCCGGUCAUACUAGUUUUGUGCUUGGAACCUUGCUUCAAGAAGAUCCCUAAGCUGUAGAACAUUUUAACGUUGAUGCCACAACGCAGAUUGAUGCCUUGUAGAUGGAGCUUGCAGAUGGAGCCCCGUGACCUCUCACCUACCCACCUGUUUGCCUGCCUUCUUGUGCGUUUCUCGGAGAAGUUCUUAGCCUGAUGAAAUAACUUGGGGCGUUGAAGAGCUGUUUAAUUUUAAAUGCCUUAGACUGGGGAUAUAUUAGAGGAAGCAGAUUGUCAAAUUAAGGGUGUCAUUGUGUUGUGCUAAACGCUGGGAGGGUACAAGUUGGUCAUUCCUAAAUCUGUGUGUGAGAAAUGGCAGGUCUAGUUUGGGCAUUGUGAUUGCAUUGCAGAUUACUAGGAGAAGGGAAUGGUGGGUACACCGGUAGUGCUCUUUUGUUCUUGCUUCGUUUUUUUAAACUUGAACUUUACUUCGUUAGAUUUCAUAAUACUUUCUUGGCAUUCUAGUAAGAGGACCCUGAGGUGGGAGUUGUGGGGGACGGGGAGAAGGGGACAGCUUGGCACCGGUCCCGUG